CGCGUAGGUGGCUAAUUAAGUCAAAUGUGAAAUCCCCGAGCUUAACUUGGGAAUUGCAUUCGAUACUGGUUAGCUAGAGUAUGGGAGAGGAUGGUAGAAUUCCAGGUGUAGCGGUGAAAUGCGUAGAGAUCUGGAGGAAUACCGAUGGCGAAGGCGGCUCACUGGCUCGGUACUGACGCUGAGGUGCGAAAGCGUGGGGAGCAAACAGGAUUAGAUACCCUCGUA
rnacentral:rRNA from 1 species